CAUGCUGAAUAUGCCGGUUCUCGUUAGAUCACCGAAGUCAAGCAUCAUUGGGCGCGGUCAGUACUUGGGUGGGUGACCACCUGGGAACACCGCGUGCCGUU
rnacentral:rRNA from 1 species